UCCAGUUCGGAAUCUGGGUGUCGCCU
rnacentral:tRNA from 1 species